AGUGAACGCUGGCGGCAGGCCUAAUACAUGCAAGUCGAACGGCAGCACAGCAGAGCUUGCUCUGUGGGUGGCGAGUGGCGGACGGGUGAGGAAUACAUGGGAAUCUGCCCAGUCGUGGGGGAUAACGUAUGGAAACGUACGCUAAUACCGCAUGCGCCCUACGGGGGAAAGUCGGGGACCGCAAGGCCUGACGCGAUUGGAUGAGCCCAUGUUCGAUUAGCUGGUUGGCGGGGUAAAGGCCCACCAAGGCGACGAUCGAUAGCUGGUCUGAGAGGAUGAUCAGCCACACUGGAACUGAGACACGGUCCAGACUCCUACGGGAGGCAGCAGUAGGGAAUAUUGGACAAUGGGGGCAACCCUGAUCCAGCCAUGCCGCGUGAGUGAAGAAGGCCCUCGGGUUGUAAACUGCUUUUAUACAAGAGAAAACCCUGGUACGUGUACCAGGUUGAUAGUAUUGUAAGAAUAAGCAUCGGCUAACUUCGUGCC
rnacentral:rRNA from 1 species